rnacentral:rRNA from 1 species
CCGGCGGAGGAUUUAUCAUACGGGGGAGGAUUUCCGGGGCCGCGGUCCUCCGCGGCCGCCCCCCUCCCCGGGGGGUGGCCAGCGCCCGCCAGAGGACCAUCAAACUCCAGUCAGUAAACGAUGCAGUCUGAAAAACAUUUAAUAAACUA